ACCAAAUCCAGAGCUAUCAUUUCUACUUUGUGAGAAACAGGGUGUGAUCUGGGGUUCCCAGACCACAUGGGGACCAGCUCUUCUCUUGCAGUUCUUGAGAACUUGGGUUGUUCAUUCAUGGAGAUUGGAGUAUGGUUCAUUCCAUGAUCUUCUCCGGCCUGAGAGCAACGUGGAAGCGACUCACAGGCCAAGAACUCUCGGGGAGAUUCCCAUAGAAUUCCUCCAGAAUAUUGGACAAAGGGCAAGUGCUAGCAGACAGUAACAUCAGUCCACCUGCUCCUUGGCCUGCCUGAAUGAUCAUGGCCCAAUGAAAAUCAUGCAAGGUUUCAAGAGCACAAAACUAAACACCAAACUGAGAUUUGGGAGCCCAGGGCAUUGCCUCACUUGUUAGCUGUGAACCCCUGGACAUGUUCCUUUAAAAUCAUGGGCUUAUUUUUCCAUAAAAUGGAGAUAAUACCCUUCCAUCCUGAAACAAGGGUAAAAUUAUUUCAGUGAAAGAUCCUUUAUAAGUUUAUCAGACACUGAAGAAAGAUGUUCAUAUCAUUUUCUACACCCUCAGCCCUGAUGCUGAGCACACUCUUUCUCCUUAUUAAGCUUCCUGCUUUUUUGUCUCUUUUCUUCCAAAAUAAAGAUUGAUGCCUUUUUCUUUCCUGC
rnacentral:lncRNA from 1 species